AGAUCAAACACAGUCGUGUUCGAUUAAACACAGUGUAAUUCAAUUUGGUAAUUCGGGCUAUAUCCAGGAAAGAAGCACAGAUACAGCCAUGGCCGCCGAUUAGCAUCUCUCUCGAUCUUGACCUCAUAUGAUCACACAAAUGCCCUGGCCCACCAGAACAACUCUGUGCCCAGCUGAUCUUUUCUUUUUCUUCUGUUUUUACAGGCACCAUGGCCCAGCAAAAACAAGAAAAGCAUUUGGUAAAAGUGGAUGACAGCCAAGGAGAUGGCUCUGUACUUCUGACUUGUGACUUGAAUGAGAAGACAAUCACAUGGCUUAAAGAUGGGCACAGAAUAAGUCCUC
rnacentral:lncRNA from 1 species